rnacentral:hammerhead_ribozyme from 1 species
AUCCGGCUGACGAGUUCCAAAUAGGACGAAACGUGCGUCUUGGAU